rnacentral:rRNA from 1 species
UUGGGAAUCUUGCACAAUGGGGGCAACCCUGAUGCAGCGACGCCGCGUGGAGGAUGAAGGGUUUAGGCCUGUAAACUCCUUUUAUGGGGAAAGACUUAGGACGGUACCCCAUGAAUAAGCACCGGCUAACUACGUGCCAGCAGCCGCGGUAAGACGUAGGGUGCAAGCGUUGUCCGGAUUUACUGGGCGUAAAGCGCGCGUAGGCGGUCUGUUAAGUGCACGAGUGAAAGCUCCGGGCUCAACUCGGAAAUUGCUCUGCAUACUGGCAGGCUGGAGGGACGCAGAGGUCUGUGGAAUUCCUGGUGUAACGGUGAAAUGUGUUGAUAUCAGGAGGAACACCCAUGGCGAAGGCAGCAGACUGGGCGUUUCCUGACGCUGAGGCGCGAAAGCGUGGGUAGCAAACAG